rnacentral:rRNA from 1 species
CCUACGGGUGGCAGCAGUGAGGAAUAUUGGUCAAUGGGCGCGAGCCUGAACCAGCCAAGUAGCGUGAGCGAAGAAGGCCUUUGGGUCGUAAAGCUCUGUCCUAAGGGAAGAAGGAAGUGACGGUACCUUAGGAGGAAGCCUCGGCUAACUACGUGCCAGCAGCCGCGGUAAUACGUAGGGGGCAAGCGUUAUCCGGAAUUAUUGGGCGUAAAGAGUACGUAGGCGGUUCUUUAAGCGUAGGGUCUAAGGCGAUGGCUUAACCAUCGUUCGCCCUGUGAACUGGAGGACUUGAGUAUCGGAGAGGAAGGCGGAAUUCCUAGUGUAGCGGUGAAAUGCGUAGAUAUUAGGAGGAACACCAGUGGCGAAGGCGGCUUUCUGGACGAAAACUGACGCUGAGGUACGAAAGCGUGGGGAGCAAACAGGAUUAGAUACCCGGGUAGUC